AUUGAACGCUGGCGGCAUGCUUUACACAUGCAAGUCGAACGGUAACAGGCCGCAAGGUGCUGACGAGUGGCGAACGGGUGAGUAAUGCAUCGGAACGUGCCCAGUCGUGGGGGAUAACGCAGCGAAAGCUGCGCUAAUACCGCAUACGAUCUAUGGAUGAAAGCGGGGGACCGUAAGGCCUCGCGCGAUUGGAGCGGCCGAUGUCAGAUUAGGUAGUUGGUGGGGUAAAGGCUCACCAAGCCAACGAUCUGUAGCUGGUCUGAGAGGACGACCGGCCACACUGGGACGGAGACACGGCCCAGACUCCUACGGGAGGCAGCAGUGGGGAAUUUUGGACAAUGGGCGCAAGCCUGAUCCAGCAAUGCCGCGUGCAGGAAGAAGGCCUUCGGGUUGUAAACUGCUUUUGUACGGAACGAAACGGUCCUGGUUAAUACCUGGGGCUAAUGACGGUACCGUAAGAAUAAGCACCGGCUAACUACGUGCCAGCAGCCGCCGUAAAAC
rnacentral:rRNA from 1 species